GGGGACCUUCGGGGCCCUAUACUCUGGCUCGCAAGAGCCCAAACAUAGCGGGGCGGAAAGCCUCGCAUUGCUAAACGGAAGACAGAAA
rfam:Marinovum algicola DG 898, complete genome.